rfam:Xenopus tropicalis strain Nigerian scaffold_509_contig_6, whole genome shotgun sequence.
ACCACCCUUGUAUUGGGGUGAGUGGCUGCUCAAUGAGCGAGUAGUGAGAGUGGCACUGCUGGCACCACUGACAACACUUUGGCGCCACUGCUGUUCCCACAGUAGGAAGGUGCAAUUUUUGGAACC